GACGAACGCUGGCGGCGUGCCUAGUACAUGCAAGUUGAGCGAUGAAGCUUGGUGCUUGCCCCAAUUUGAAGAGCAGCGAACGGGUGAGUAACGCGUGGGGAAUCUGCCUUUGAGCGGGGGACAACAUUUGGAAACGAAUGCUAAUACCGCAUAAUAACUUUAAACAUAAGUUUUAAGUUUGAAAGAUGCAAUUGCAUCACUCAAAGAUGAUCCCGCGUUGUAUUAGCUAGUUGGUGAGGUAAAGGCUCACCAAGGCGAUGAUACAUAGCCGACCUGAGAGGGUGAUCGGCCACAUUGGGACUGAGACACGGCCCAAACUCCUACGGGAGGCAGCAGUAGGGAAUCUUCGGCAAUGGACGAAAGUCUGACCGAGCAACGCCGCGUGAGUGAAGAAGGUUUUCGGAUCGUAAAACUCUGUUGGUAGAGAAGAACGUUGGUGAGAGUGGAAAGCUCAUCAAGUGACGGUAACUACCCAGAAAGGGACGGCUAACUACGUG
rnacentral:rRNA from 1 species